AAAACCAUAAACCCAACUGGGUUUGUAUUGGGCAUCGUCUUCGGACGUAGCCUCAAAGUCAUCGGUCUUAUACGCGGACGAGCUCCAUUAGGACAGACCGUGUGUGGACUUUAAAUCUCUG
rnacentral:misc_RNA from 1 species